AGGUUCGAUUAUGGCUCAGAUUGAACGCUGGCGGGAUGCUUUACACAUGCAAGUCGAACGGCAGCACAGACUUCGGUCUUAUGGCGAGUGGCGAACGGGUGAGUAAUGUAUCGGAACGUGCUCAGUAGCGGGGAUAACUACGCGAAAGCGUAGCCAAUAAUGCAUACCGCCCUUCGGGGGAAAGCGGGGAUCCGGGCCUCGCACUAUUAGAGCGGCCGAUAUCGGAUUAGCUAGUUGGUGGGGUAACGGCUCACCAAGGCGACGAUCCGUAGCUGGUUUGAGAGGACGACCAGCCACACUGGGACUGAGACACGGCCCAGACUACGGGAGGCAGCAGGGGGGAAUUUUGGACAAUGGGGGAAACCCUGAUCCAUGCUAUCCCGCGUGUGCGAUGAAGGCCUUCGGGUUGUAAAGCACUUUUGGCAGGGAAAGAAACGGCACGGGAUAAUACCCCGUGCAACUGACGGUACCUGCAGAAUAAGCACCGGCUAAACUACGUGCCAGCAGCCGCGGUAAUACGUAGGGUGCAAGCGUUAAUCGGAAUUACUGCUAGCGUGGCAGGCGGUUCGGAAAGAAAGAUGUGAAAUCCCAGAGCUUAACUUUGAACUGCAUUUUUAACUACCGAGCUAGAGCGUGUCAGAGGGAGGUGAAUUCCGCGUGUAGCAGUGAAAUGCGUAGAUAUGCGGAGGAACACCGAUGGCGAAUGGCAGCCUUCCUGAUAAUCACUGAUGCCAGCAACGAGUGUGGAGCAACAGGAUUUAUUAUCUUAUAUCCAUGCCAAACGAUGCCUUUCGUAUUCAAUAGCCUUCGGCCUGUGCGCAGGCUGACGCGAAAUACCUGCCUGGGAGUGGCUGGUCAGAUUAAUGUAACCAAGAAUUGACGGACCCGCACAAGCGGUGGAUGAUGUGGAUUAAUUCGAUGCAACGCGAAAAACCUUACCUACCCUUGACAUGUCUGGAAUCCCGAAGAGAUUUGGGGGUGCUCGCAAGAGAACCGGAACACAGGUGCUGCAUGGCUGUCGUCAGCUCGUGUCGUGAGAUGUUGGUUAAGUCCCGCAACGAGCGCAACCUUGUCGUUAGUUGCUACGAAAGGGCACUCCACGACUGCCGGUGACAAACCGAGGAAGGUGGAUGACGUCAUCCGCGGCUUUAUGGGUAGGGCUUCACACGUCAUACAAUGGUCGGGACAGAGGGUCGCCAACCCGCGAGGGGGAGCCAAUCCCAGAAAACCCGAUCGUAAACUGGAUCGCAGUCUGCAACUCGACUGCGUGAAGCCGGAAUCGCUGCACUCAGGAUCAGCAUGUCGCGGUGAAUACGUUCCCGGGUCUUGUACACACCGCCCGUCACACCAUGGGAGUGGGUUUUACCAGAAGUAGUUAGCCUAACCGUAAGGAGGGCGAUUACCACGGUAGGAUUCAUGACUGGGGUGAAGUCGUAACAAGGUAACCCCCGGAAACUUACCUGAUG
rnacentral:rRNA from 1 species